rnacentral:tRNA from 1 species
GACACUGUGGCUGAGCGGUAAAGUGCUUGUCUUCCAAACCAGGGGUCCUAGGUUCGAAUCCUGGGAUUUUUA